rnacentral:rRNA from 1 species
GAGGAAAGAGGGAGGCGUGCCUAAUACAUGCAAGUCGAGCGAACAGACGAGGAGCUUGCUCCUCUGACGUUAGCGGCGGACGGGUGAGUAACACGUGGAUAACCUACCUAUAAGACUGGGAUAACUUCGGGAAACCGGAGCUAAUACCGGAUAAUAUAUUGAACCGCAUGGUUCAAUAGUGAAAGACGGUUUUGCUGUCACUUAUAGAUGGAUCCGCGCCGCAUUAGCUAGUUGGUAAGGUAACAGCUUACCAAGGCAACGAUGCGUAGCCGACCUGAGAGGGUGAUCGGCCACACUGGAACUGAGACACGGUCCAGACUCCUACGGGAGGCAGCAGUAGGGAAUCUUCCGCAAUGGGCGAAAGCCUGACGGAGCAACGCCGCGUGAGUGAUGAAGGUCUUCGGAUCGUAAAACUCUGUUAUUAGGGAAGAACAAAUGUGUAAGUAACUAUGCACGUCUUGACGGUACCUAAUCAGAAAGCCACGGCUAACUACGUG